GUCACUCAAUCACUGCUGCAGCAUCAAACUCUUCAAACUGAAACACUUUCUUCGCUCCACACAGUGGAAAAAAGGAAUAGUUUCGUCAAGCGGAUAUUUCAAGAUUAAAAUCACAGCUUCAAUUUAAGGCAGCACGCUGAGGUAAGUUUUGGCUCUAAUUCUAACACGGGUUUUUCUGUGUAAAUGUGAUGGUAAUUUUCAGGGUGAUUCUGUAACUGGGCUCUUAUGACAUCAGUUUUUAAGUGUACAUUUUUAAAUCAGUGCAGCAAUAUAUCAGUGCGCAUGUCAUGAGCUGUAUUUACACAUUUACCCCACGCCCUCGCGGGGGUACUGGAAACUAUCGCAGCUACUUCAGGCGGAUUAAUUAUAAAUCAAUGUAAACAUCCAAGUUAAGUGUAAAUAAAUGCCUUGGCUCUGCUGUUCGCGUGAUUGACAAUUGGAGUGUGAACAGACAGCAUUUCUGUGUGUGCACAGCAAGGUGCACGGGGCGCGCGCGUGAGAGAUGUGCGGACGCGAGGCGAUCGUAUGGCGAAGAGAGUGGCUGUGUCCGAAAUCGUUCCCUCAUUCACUAUUUCCUAUAUAGUGAAUGGCAGUGAGUGCAGUAUAUCUCAGCAGUGAGUGAAUGAAGUGAGUGAGUGAAUUGGAUGCUGACGUAUAUACAAAGCGUCGGAUCUCUGGGGCUGUCACAGAAACAACAUCACACAUAAACUUUUAAAAUACAUGGGCCUUACUUGUUAUUCUUAUUUAAUAAUAUAUUAAUACAAUAAAUCUUCAUUCUGUUUGUCAUUUUUAAAAUAUACUGCAUGUUAAUAUAAAGAGUAACACAUUUGAUCAAAUAAAGAGUACAUUUUAAAAUGUAUCUGUAUGUUUUGCCUCUCUAUAUGUUAUGUUAUUUUAAUCAAGUAAUGAUUUGUCAAAAAGUAAUUUAAUACAUUCAGCAUGAAAGAAAACAUUGCAGGAGUGAAGGAAGCAGUAAACUCCCAGCUCGUACGUCUUCCCCGUGGUGGAUUGUGGGCAAUUAACCGUCGUCGAGUGUACAUCAAACACUCGAAAUUAGAGUGCAUUGUGGGUAAUAAUGAGUGAACAAAAGUAAGGAACGAGUGGCUCACUCAGAAUUCAGACAAUCCUACAAAAUGGCGGACACUCGAAAUAGUGCACUACAUAGUGGAUAGGGGGUGGUUUCAGACACAGCGAGUGUUCCACGACUGGGGUUGGUGCCCUACACAAGCUGCGUACUCUGCAUUUAGAGAGCGGAGGUACUGCUGUACAGAACUAAUGAUCUAAUUUCUUUCAACACUGAAAACUGUAACUGAACUGAAAUAAGAAUUCGCGCAGGAAUUUAAAAGUUAUGAAAUAGCGAAAGCAGGCAUUAAUAAAGCAUGAUCUUGCUUUGGUUUAUAUUUCAGCAUUAUAUAUAUAUUGUCCUUGUGGGGCAUUUUCACGUUUUCACUGUAAUAAUUUAUUUGCGGUGUACGGAAGUCGCGCUUGUCAUCUCGCGCGACCCUUAGUUUCGGUUGACCACAUGACUAGCUUUGUUGUGCUAAGUAGCAUUAAGGCGUUUCCAGCGCCAGGUAAGGUAUUUAAACCAUUGGAUCCAUAGUCAUCCAGGAGAAGCAAUCUAUCUACAGGAGUCUGCAGUUGCAUGUAAGUGUGUUUAUUUCAUUGUUUUACUUUGUUGUAGAGAGGUAUUCAUUGCUAGACUUGUGCUGUUUGUUUACUGUCUUGAACUUGUGCUGUUUGUUUACUGUCUUGAACUCGCGUUGCUUAAACAUGGGUUGGUGUGUGUGUGCUAUAUUGUUAUUCACUGUUAGAUUUAGCAUUGGUUGUCCAGUGUGUGUAAAACUGUUGUGGUUUUUAGUGUCUAUAAACAGUGCUUCACUUGUUUUAGAGUAUUAUUUAUUGCUAAAGUGCAGCAUAAUUUGUUUGUGGUGUACGGAAGUCACGCUUGUCACCUCGCGCGACCCUUAAUUUCGGUUGACCACGUGACUAGCUUUGUUGUGCUAAGUAGCAUUAAGGCGUGUCCAGCUUUUUUCAUUGAACGGCUCAUUAUCAUGUAUUUAUUUGACUUGAAUGCUGACGCGGAAGCGGCAGCGGAAGUGGUAGCCCUCGUGUAAAGCCCUCCUCGUGUGAAGACCUACUUGGGUAAAGACCAGCGAGUCUACCUGUGCGAGUCCACCGAGCAAGGACACCGACAAGGCGCCACUCACCAUAGCACUUAAGUAUCUUUUACUUUUAUCUAUUUUAUUUUCCUUGUACAUACUAACAUGUCUACUUCAAGAAUAACAUAUGCUUUUAAGCACAUACCUGUUAUCUGUUACAGACCGUUUACACAAUAUAGACGCAAGACAAACUGCAACCCACACAACCUACGGCCACUUUGCACUUCAGCACCUGCUCUGCUCUCUUUCUCAGUGGGAAUCUGGAACUGCCAGUCAGAUGUGAACAAAGCUGACUUCAUUCCAGCCUUUGCCAUGCAGUCCAGCCUCAGCAUCCUGGCACUGACAGAAACAUGGAUAAGUCCAGAGGAUACAGCAACACCUGCUGCUCUCUCCAACAACUUCUCCUUCUCUCACACCCCUCGACACACCGGCAGGGGUGGGGGAACAGCUGACAAACUUUCUUGAGGAGUUGGAUGUCCUGCUGUCCCCCUUGCCAGAGGAUGGUAGACUUGUGGUUCUUGGUGAUUUUAACAUAAACCAAGACAAGCCCCAGGCCACUGAACUGAAUACUCUCCUGGGCUCAUUUGACUUGGAAAAACUACACACCACAGAAACUCACAGAUCGGGCAACCAGCUGGACUUCAUUUUUACACGCCAGCACGUGCUACACCACCCAGCCCCUGGCUGUCUGACGUCCUUCGUGAACAUCGGACUGACCUCAGGGCAGCUGAGAGGAGAUGGUGGAAAUCUAAAGAUCCAGCAGAUCUAGAACAAGCUGCUGGAUGACAAUCAGUCAGGCUUCAAAAGUGGACACUCCACCGAGACUGCCCUGCUGUCUGUCACCGAGUCGCUGAGAUGGGCGAAAGCUGAAUCCAGAUCAUCCGUCCUGAUUCUGCUGGAACUUUCUGCAGCCUUUGACACAGUCAACCAUCAGAUCUUACUCUCUACCCUCUCCUCGCUGGGCAUCACAGGAACUGUGAUUGACUGGUUUAAUUCCUAUCUCUCAGCCCAACGACACCACAGUGACUGCUCGAAUUUCUGUCUGCCUGGCAGACAUCUCGGCCUGGAUGAAGGAGCACCACCUGCAACUCAACCCAGCCAAGACUGAACUCCUUGUCUUUCCAGCCAACCCUGCUGUUGAACACAACAUCACCAUGCAGCUGGGUGCAACUACAGUAACGCCUUCCAAAUCAGUCAGAAAUCUAGGGGUAACUAUCGACAACAGACUAAAUUUCACAGACCACAUCUCAAAGACCACAAGAUCAUGUAGAUUUACACUCUACAAUAUCAGGAAGAUAAGACCCUUCCUCUCUGAACAUGCCACACAACUGCUUGUCCAGUCACUUUUCAUAACUUGACUGGACUACUGUAAUGCUCUCAUUGCAGGCCUCCCUGCAUGUGCAAUUAGACUCCUGCAAAUGAUCUAGAAUGCAGCAGCACGUCUGGUCUUUAAAGAACCAAAGAGAGCACAUGUUACACCACUCCUUGUCUCUCUCCACUGGCUGCCAGUUGAUGCAUGUAUCAAAUUCAAGGCUCUGAUGCUGGCAUACAGAACAGUCACUGGUACUGCUCCAGCAAUCAUUUAUGCAGAGCUACGCGCCCACUAGAAGCCUGCGGUCGGCUAAGGAACGCCGCCUUGUUGUACCAACACAAAGAGGAACCAAAACACUUUCCCAGACUUUCAGCUUCAUCAUACCACAUUGGUGGAAUGACCUUCCCAACUCCAUCCAUGAAGCUGACUCACUCUCUGUCUUCAAAAAACGACUAAAAACACAUCUUGUCCAUGAGCACUUAACCAGUCAUUAAAAAAAUAAAAUAAAAAAUUCCUGUUGCACUUUAUUCUGUUUUGAAUACUAUUAUGAUGCUAGUGAAACUUUUUGUAAUAUAGCACU